CCUACGGGAGGCAGCAGUGGGGAAUAUUGCACAAUGGGCGAAAGCCUGAUGCAGCGACGCCGCGUGAGGGAAGAAGGUUUUCGGUAUGUAAAACUCUAUCAGCAGGGAAGAAAAUGCCGGUACCUGACUAAGAAGCCCCCGCUAAAUACGGUCCAGCAGCCGCGGUCAUACGUCGGGCGCCAGCGUUCUCCGGAUUUACGGGGUGUAAAGGGAGCGUAGGUGGUUUUGCAAGUCAGAAGUGAAAGCCUGGGGUUCAAAUCCGGGAUUGCUUUUGAAACUGUUGAACUAGAUUGCAGGAGAGGUAAGUGGAAUUCCGAGUGUAGCGGUGAAAUGCGUAGAUAUUAGGAGGAACACCAGUGGCGAAGGCGGCUUACUGGACUGUAAAUGACGCUGAGGCUCGAAAGCGUGGGGAGCAAACAGGAUUAGAUACCCGUGUAGUC
rnacentral:rRNA from 1 species